rnacentral:rRNA from 1 species
AGAAUGAACGUUGGUGGCAUGCCUAACACAUGCAAGUCGAACGAAGCCUUCGGGCUUAGUGGCGCACGGGUGCGUAACGCGUGGGAAUCUGCCCUUGGGUUCGGAAUAACAGUUGGAAACGACUGCUAAUACCGGAUGAUGACGUAAGUCCAAAGAUUUAUCGCCCAGGGAUGAGCCCGCGUAGGAUUAGCUAGUUGGUGAGGUAAAGGCUCACCAAGGCGACGAUCCUUAGCUGGUCUGAGAGGAUGAUCAGCCACACUGGGACUGAGACACGGCCCAGACUCCUACGGGAGGCAGCAGUGGGGAAUAUUGGACAAUGGGCGAAAGCCUGAUCCAGCAAUGCCGCGUGAGUGAUGAAGGCCUUAGGGUUGUAAAGCUCUUUUACCCGGGAUGAUAAUGACAGUACCGGGAGAAUAAGCCCCGGCUAACCUCCGUGCCAGCAGCCGC